rnacentral:rRNA from 1 species
AUUAAACGCUGGCGGCAUGCUUUACACAUGCAAGUCGAACGGUAACAGGCCGCAAGGUGCUGACGAGUGGCGAACGGGUGAGUAAUGCAUCGGAACGUGCCCAGUCGUGGGGGAUAACGCAGCGAAAGCUGCGCUAAUACCGCAUACGAUCUAUGGAUGAAAGCGGGGGACCGUAAGGCCUCGCGCGAUUGGAGCGGCCGAUGUCAGAUUAGGUAGUUGGUGGGGUAAAGGCUCACCAAGCCAACGAUCUGUAGCUGGUCUGAGAGGACGACCAGCCACACUGGGACUGAGACACGGCCCAGACUCCUACGGGAGGCAGCAGUGGGGAAUUUUGGACAAUAGGCGCAAGCCUGAUCCAGCAAUGCCGCGUGCAGGAAGAAGGCCUUCGGGUUGUAAACUGCUUUUGUACGGAACGAAACGGCUCUGGUUAAUACCUGGGGCUAAUGACGGUACCGUAAGAAUAAGCACCGGCUAACUACGUGCCAGCAGCCGCCGUAA